rnacentral:rRNA from 1 species
AUUGAACGCUGGCGGCAGGCCUAACACAUGCAAGUCGAGCGGAUGAGUGGAGCUUGCUCCAUGAUUCAGCGGCGGACGGGUGAGUAAUGCCUAGGAAUCUGCCUGGUAGUGGGGGACAACGUUUCGAAAGGAACGCUAAUACCGCAUACGUCCUACGGGAGAAAGUGGGGGAUCUUCGGACCUCACGCUAUCAGAUGAGCCUAGGUCGGAUUAGCUAGUUGGUGAGGUAAAGGCUCACCAAGGAGACGAUCCGUAACUGGUCUGAGAGGAUGAUCAGUCACACGGGAACUGAGACACGGUCCAGACUCCUACGGGAGGCAGCAGUGGGGAAUAUUGGACAAUGGGCGAAAGCCUGAUCCAGCCAUGCCGCGUGUGUGAAGAAGGUCUUCGGAUUGUAAAGCACUUUAAGUUGGGAGGAAGGGCAGUAAGUUAAUACCUUGCUGUUUUGACGUUACCAACAGAAUAAGCACCGGCUAACUUCGUGCCAGCCGCCGCCGUAAGAC